UACGGAGGGUGCAAGCGUUGUCCGGAUUUAUUGGGUUUAAAGGGUGCGUAGGCGGUUCUUUAAGUCAGUGGUGAAAGCCUCCAGCUUAACUGGAGAAAUGCCAUUGAUACUGAAGAACUUGAGUACAGACGAGGUAGGCGGAAUUGACAGUGUAGCGGUGAAAUGCUUAGAUAUGACUUAGAACACCAAUUGCGAAGGCAGCUUACUAAACAGAUAUUGACGCUGAGGCACGAAAGCGUGGGGAUCAAACAGG
rnacentral:rRNA from 1 species